CAAGCGGGAAGGAAAAAGAUUUUAGGUAACCUCCCACUUUUCUUUUUAUUUUCUCUCCCAUCAAGAACGUUGCAGGAAACGAAGAGCGUGGAAAAAUCUAAGUGAAGAAGAGAAAAACAAUGUCAAAGCUUGAAACUUUCAAGUAUGAGGAGCAGAGGAUG